AAGUGAUUUAAUAAAUUGCGCGUCGCAAAUAACCAAGGAUCUUGAAUUGCUUUUCACGUCAGUGUUUUCCACGAAUCGUUGACGUGACUAUGCAUAAUAAUGUUCUCGACUCCUUCGUGUUCCCUGGACUUCACUUCCCUGGCUUAUCAUACCGA
rnacentral:rRNA from 1 species